rnacentral:rRNA from 1 species
GACGAACGCUGGCGGCGUGCUUAACACAUGCAAGUCGAACGGAAAGGCCCUGCUUGCUGGGUCCUCGAGUGGCGAACGGGUGAGUAACACGCGUGGGAUCUGCCCUGCACCUCGGGAUAAGCCUGGGAAACUGGGUCUAAUAUCGGACAUGACCUUCCAUGCCGUGUGGGGGGUGGGAGGAUUUGUCGGUGUGGGAUGAGCCCGCGGCCUAUCAGCUUGUUGGUGGGGUAAUGGCCUACCAAGGCGUCGACGGGUAGCCGGCCUGAGAGGGUGGACGGCCACAUUGGGACUGAGAUGCGGCACAGCCUCCUACGGGAGGGAGCAGUGGGGAAGAGUGCACAAUGGGCGGAGGGCAGGUGCGACGAAGCCGCGUGGGGGAUGACGGCCUUCGGGUUGUAAACCUCUUUCGUCUGGGACGAAGCUUCGGUGACGGUACCUGGAGAAGAAGCACCGGCUAACUACGUG